rnacentral:rRNA from 1 species
GCAAGCGUUAAUCGGAAUUACUGGGCGUAAAGCGUGCGCAGGCGGUUUUGUAAGACAGUGGUGAAAUCCCCGGGCUCAACCUGGGAACUGCCAUUGUGACUGCAAGGCUAGAGUGCGGCAGAGGGGGAUGGAAUUCCGCGUGUAGCAGUGAAAUGCGUAGAUAUGCGGAGGAACACCGAUGGCGAAGGCAAUCCCCUGGGCCUGCACUGACGCUCAUGCACGAAAGCGUGGGGAGCAAACAGGAUUAGAUACCCUGGUAGUCAAGGGCG